CCGACCACAUUCACUAGUUCUGCUUUGAGCAGAAAUGCCCUAUGCCCUAUCAUGCAUGUGACAACAGCAAUACUCAUUAGAUACAACAAUCCCAAUGUAAGCCGCCUUGGUAUCAGGUCCCUACACUGUCCCGAGUCUUUGCACCAGUGCAAGUAUUGUACCUGUACUUUUGUCAAACAUUGAAUAAAGUAAUAAAUAUUGAAAACAUACUAAAAGCAGAGGAGGUUGGUGGGAGUAGCUAUGGGAGGAUGGGCUCAUUCUAAUGUAUGGCAUGGAAUGAAUGGAACGGAGUCCAACGUGAUUUCCAUAUGUUUGAUUCCGUUCCAUAAAUCCCAUUCCAGGCAUUACAAUGAGCUCAUCCUCUUAUAGCUCCUCCCACCAGCCUCAUCUGACUAGGCGGUAGGUUGAGUCGGGAAGCUGUUAUAAAAUGAUUGGCCGUAAAAAAAACAGUUGUGUUAAGGUGUUGUUUCUGGUGUUUAUUUGCUCCUUAAAAAGGGGUGAAAGUUGUGUGUCUGUUCAAAAGCUUCUAUAAAUCUGGCCUUUUAAAUCCAAAACAAAGACCAUGAAUUAGACAAUACAUUUCAAUUGAGAAUAUCUACAGAAUUACAUGCCCCAUAAGGAUACAUUUUCAUUCUUCAUUUCUGUUGGUUUAGGUUAUUCAUUAAAUAAUUGAUUUUUCAAAAAAUGCUUAAACAACAGGAUGCUAUAUUUGACAAUUAAAGAUUUAGAACUGCUUGAAA